rnacentral:rRNA from 1 species
UACGUAGGGAGCAAGCGUUGUUCGGAGUUACUGGGCGUAAAGAGUGCGUAGGCGGUUUCGUAAGUUUGGUGUGAAAUCUCCCGGCUUAACUGGGAGGGUGCGCCGAAAACUGCGGGGCUGGAGUGUGGGAGAGGUAAGCGGAAUUCCUGGUGUAGCGGUGAAAUGCGUAGAUAUCAGGAGGAACACCGGUGGCGAAGGCGCCACUCUGGGCCGAAACUGACGCUGAGGAGCGAAAGCGUGGGUAGCAAACAGG